AUUACAGAUACAUAUUACAUAAUAUUAUUAUACAUCAAUAUGUCUUAUAUUAUACUUGUUACAGAAUACAGAAUACAAUCUGUUAUAUUAUGAUACCUUCGUCAUCCUCUGACAGUUGGGCAAAAAAUUCUGCCCAUGCCUGUGCAGCAAGUCCUCUGGGGACUUGCCCCCUGCCUCUAUUAGCCCUUUGCCCUCUUCUUGGAUGUAUCCUACCCCUUACACGCAUUCUUUGCGGGCCUUGUUCAUCUUAAAAAUAAGAAUAUGAGCUCUACCUUGUCCUCGCCUUCUUCGUCCACGUUCUUCUGGAUUCAUUUGAUCACCCAUAUGUUGAAGUGGUGGUGGUAAAGCUUGUAAAUUUAAAUCCAAGUCCUGAAGAUCAUCUGAAAUCGAUCAAUGUUAGAUUUAAACUGUAGAACAAUUUUUAAUGAAAUGUGGUUAAUGUAAGUGGAAUUACUUUAUAUAAGUGGUAACUUUAUAUUAUCUGUAUUUACUCUAUAUAUCUGUACUCUUUGCCCUAAAGGGCGUUAUUAUUAUUUUAUU